UUGUAAAUUUGUUUAUUUUAAUUAUUAUCAUCAUUGAUAAUGCGAACUACUGCAAACGGAUUUUAAGGAAGGACAGCUUGCGGCGUGUAUAAAUAUUUAGGGUGAUGGACGUCCGUCAGGAUGUAAAGAGUUGUUUGCCAAAGCCCCAAAGAAUAAACAUAUACCCACACAACUAACGCAUUGAAAACACGUAGUUGAAGUUGUUGCGAAGUCGCUUUUGUAUUUUGCGUUUUUGGUUUAAUAAACGUAAUUACUGUAGUCUGUCAAGUGUCAACUAAGCAGAAAUGGCGGAACUGGGACUAAAUGAGCAACACCAGUCGCUAAUUAUGACAUAUAUCAGAUUCGCUAAGCAUCAGCGUGCACAAAAUUUGAAGGCAGUGUAUUGUGCAUUCCAAGACGUAAUAGAAUCUAGGCUGUCGGAGGAGACGUACACGGCAGAGGAGGUGCGGGAGCUGCUGUGCGGGCUGCGCGAGGCGGUGCGCGCCGACGUGGAGGCGGAGCUGAUGAGCCACGGCCGCGCCACCGCGCUGCUGCUGCGCCAGCUGCUGGCCCAAGCUGAGCGCUGGCACCUGCGCCUCUCCGCUGACAUGUCACAGCUGCAAGACAGAGAGCAACUGGAGCAGGUGGCAGCACUGGAGGAGACGGGAGCGGCUCCCGAGCGGCCGCUGCCAGCGGGCGGACGGCUGGCCCCACUGGGCACGGAUGGCGGCCGGGACGCGGGCGGGGCGUCCGCACUGCUGACUGCGGAGGUGCGGCGACUGGAGGCACACUGUGGCUCCCUGCAGGAGCAGCUGGAGGAGGCACGCCUUCUGGCUCAGGUUAGGCAGCAGCAGAUAAUUCGCCUGAACGACGAACUGGACUCUGCGAGAGAGAAGCUCGCCGUGGCUGCCGCUUCUUCACAACUCGCCAAGGAACGGCAGGAGGCCACGGUCCCCAGUGACCGCAUCCCCGAGCUGGAGGAGCAGAUCUCACAGCUGUCUCUCAGUCUGUCAGACAGUGAAACUGUGAGAACCGAUGUUGAGCACCAGCUGGCGGACACGAGGGAGGAACUCGAGGCUAUGAAGUCGAGACUGACGCUGGCGGAGAAGGUGACGGGAAUUCCUUUGUUACAAAAAUGCACGACCAUCGCUGGGACAUGUGCCUUUCUUCAGUAGCCAUUGCCGCACUCGAGAACUUUCUAUUUGGCACGUGGUACUUGCUUUAGAAAACAAAGCACACAGCACUGUUUCACUCACUCUGCUGCCUGCUAGCAGGAGCUGGAAAGCAAAUUCAGUGAGACGACAGCUUACACUAACAUGAAGCGUAUGCUCGCGAGCAAGAAUGAACAGCUGCGUGAGCUGCGAUUGAGGCUGCGUGCCCUGGGAGAAGGAGGAGGCAAGAGCAG
rnacentral:misc_RNA from 1 species